GAAACAGCUGAUUUCUGUAUCUCUGAGCUGGUCACAUGCAUUUUCACAUCUGGUGUUUUGUUGGGUUGAGAUCAAGUUGAGAUUGAAUCUAUUCCCAUUGUGUGUGGAUGUGUUUAGCGGGUCAUGUGCAACACCAUAGAGCUCUUGUUGACACUACCAUUGCUGAUCCCAGAACUCAGACCUAAUACAUAACCAGGACAGUGAGGACAGGCUUAUUCCCAUGGCCAUAUACUGUACCAUCAAAAACAACCAGAAGAUGACACUAAAACCAGUAGCCUAUAACGACAUACCUCAGAAGAGGCCCAUUGCUGUUGCUUUAAGGUGUGCAGGUGUUUGUAUGCAUAAGUAGGCCGAUGUUCACAGCAGCAUCAUUCCAAAUGUAUACAUCCCAUCACUGGAGGCCAGGGAGUCCCAGUAUCUGCAAUGCAGGGGAAGUGAUUCAACUGUUACUCUAGAAUUAGGCUUGGGGAGUAGAGGAUUUAAACGAUUAUCUGUGUUUGAUGAAAUGAAUGGACGACAAUAAUCUUCUUUUGAACCCAUUCAUAAGUUAUUUCCCCAGUUUUUUUCUGUUAAACUUUGAACCAUUUGGCUGUAUACAGGGAUGCCAGAUUUCAGUCCAGAGCUAGACAGGGAGGGAGGAGAUCAUACUAGUAUAAUAGGAUUACAUACAGUUUUUGUCCUUGUCAUGUUUUUUCCUGCAAUUAUAUCAUGUCAGACUCUCCAGUAUUAGUAAACUCCCCAGUAUUAGCUCAAUGGAUUGCAAUGGACUGGCCAAUUCAAUUCAAUUCUUGAAUUUCCCCUUGGGGAUCAAUAAAGUAGCCUAUAUCUAUCUAUCUAUCUAUCUAUCAAUUGCUACAUUUAUUAAUGAACAAUUAACUAUUUACUGAGUUGCCAUUUAGCAAUCGUGAUCACU